UCAACACAAAAAUACGUUUUUGAUUUCACAUCAUCUUCGUCUCUUCCAACACUAACGUUGACAUUCACAUAAGUUGAAGCCCUUCACUUGUUCGCCGACUAUCUCACCUGCGAUGCAAGGCAUGUUCAGGCCCGGCGAGAUGAGGUAGAUAGCCCCCCAGCCUCUACUCCGUCGCAACAACACAGCAAAUCGACAACAAACUUGGGGAAUUUGGGGAAGAGGAUACGAUGUGCACAGUGCACAUAAGGUGCUCGAUGAAAUGCUCGAAUCAAUGGAUGUAGUUUUCAAGGCUUUUGAGAAGAUGUCUAAGCCGUGGCUGACCGUUAUCAAUCUGGUUGAUGUCCAUUCUGGUGAUCUUUUAGCUGUUUCAAAGAUUCCUGGAAGAUGAGGUGGCUUUGAAACAUUGGACGCCGAAUCAAAAAAUCAACCAAAGCUUUUAGUAAACGAAAUUGCUUUGGGGGAUGACAUAAGAGACCAUUUCUUGCAGCUGGCAGUUAAUCGUUCCUCUGUUAUCUGUUGUCGUGUCUCUCCUAAACAGAAAGCCUUGGUGAUGCUCUUUGUUUCCAAUUUUGAUUCAGAAGUGGAAUACCUCAAACAGUCGUUUCAAACUCUAGAGGUAAAUUUUAAACAACAUAGCUCUAUUUAACAUCAAUGGUAAAUGACAAUAUUCAUGAUUUCAUGUUAUAAUAGCUCCCAAAUGUUUCAAUCUAAAUCAGGCUGGUUGUGUUUUAUCUUUACUAUGCUAUUUCUUGCAAUUUUUUUCUUUUCUAGUUUUUUAUUGAAAAAAAUUAUGUUUUUUUUUGUUUUCUAUCUCUGGUUGAACAAAUUUCUUUUACUUUUUUUUAAAAAUUUUAAAAGUAUUUCCUAAACAAUAGUAAUUAUAAAAAUCAAUAAUAUGUGUACUAUGUGGGCGAAAGAAAUGUCUAGAUGGUGUAUUGCACUUAAGAUCACUGAAAUACUUAUGCUUAUCUCAUUAGAAUUGUUCUGGUAAUCUAUUAAUUAACCUUUGUAUUGGGCCUAUGAGUAGUUGUACAUAAGUUAUAAAUAUAGUGUGAUAGAGAGAAAAAAAUAGUCACAGGUAGAAGGAAGAGGGAUGGCCGCCAGGUAGAUGAUCGGAAAAAGUAAAAGAAAAGUAUUCAAUGAAAGAAAUGGCGGAGAGAAGAAGGGAUCAAAGAUGCCCCAUUUUCUAUUUUUCUAUUUUCUUUGAAUAAAAGAGUGGGACCACAAUGUUUUAGUAAAUAAAUUUCAAAGCACUAUCAUCUGUUAAAUAAAAUUUCCAUUUACUAUGGCCACGUUAUAAACUCAUCCAACAUUAGGGGUAUUUUUGGAAAUGUUUGUUGAUUUAUCUUUACUAUGCACAUGGAUCACCAUUUUAUUCUACAAAUAUCAUAACAUAACAUUUGGUUUUGUGAUAAACUUAAAGCCAGAAGAUAUCAGCUGGAUUAAGCCUCGAUUGAUUCCCAUUUGCUUGUGUAUUCAUUUGUUUGUUUGUUUACUGGAGGUAUAUUGGGCAUAAAAUAACAAUUAGACCAAAUGCAAAGAAGUUGAGUGUUUUAU